rnacentral:ncRNA from 1 species
GACCCUCAUGAAGACGGCGCCAAGGCGCACUUCAUACCUCCCUGUUGGACUUCGGCCGAGCUUAGUGCUCGGCCUUUUUU